UGACUCCUGCUUGUUGCGUUAACAUUUUGCUGUAGUUCAUUAUGUAUUUUAUCCUAUGAUGAUACCCUAGUAAGCACGUCGAGUCGAGCUUUUAGUUUCUCUGGCAUACUGUUAGGGUUCUGCACUCGGUUGUACAGUGUAAAUUGGUGUUUUAAGACUUCGAAAGGACGCUAUUUCGUGGUAUUUUUGUGAUUUCGGUCACAAUGCCUAAACGAAGUGUGUUUGGUUGUUCACCUAGUGAUGACAGCUUUCAUUCAUUUCCAAACCCUAAGAGAUUCCGUCACCAAUUGAAUUCUUGGGUUAAUCGUACUGGUGAUUUUGGAUUGACUAAUGAAGAGAUUUUCAAAAAGAAAAAUAUUUGUGAUGUUUGUGUAGGUAAAAACAUGCCGAAGUGCAACUGCCCCUUUCGCUAUGUGUUUGUUUAGCUAUAGAGGUCAUUGCUGUCGCAACUUUACUCUACUCUAUACUUUCAUAAACUCAUCAUCUACUUCUGCUGUAACCACUCAACAGAAUGUUAAGUACAACAUGAAAAGAUCAUCAAAAAGGCAUUCAGAAUAUGCUGUUAUAAUGCUGGACCAUAGUUAUUGCAAGAAAAGAUCUUCAAAAGCUUCGGAAAGAACGGCGCCGACCAAAUUGACAGUAAAUAGGUAUAGCACUUACCAAAAACAAAAUUGUAACUUGAGAAGAGAAAUCUACAGACUGCAAAAAAGUGGUCAUUCAUUUAAGGCGCGGCUUGCAAAAGUCGAAAAACUGGAUGCCAACACUACUUUUCAAAAAGUAGUUAAAGGUAUGAUGUUACAAGCCAAAUUGUUUACCGCCAUGCAGAUGCAAACAGCGAAAAAACAAAAGGGUCGUCGUUUUUGUUUGGAAGAAAAAGUAUUGUCCUUGUCUUUGUAUAAGAGUCCCAAGCAUUGAUGGCAAAAUAUUUUACAUUGCCAUCAGCAAAAUGUUUAAAAAGAUGAAUUUCUGAAAUAAUACUAAAGCCGGGCAUCAAUACAAUCAUUUAUGAAAAAUUUAAAAAAGUUGUGGAUGAUUUGCCGCACAGAUAAACUGUGCACGUUAAUCUUUGACGAGAUGUCAUUUACGCCGCAAGUGCCGACAAAUUAAAAGGAUUCGCAACUCACGGAAAGGAGGCCUAAGUUAACUUUUUUUGAACAAUUAUUCCCAUUUAUGAUGUGCCACAUUUAUUAAAAGGGCUGAGGAAUAACCUUCUUACCAAAGAUUUGGUUUAUAUUGACCCCGAACACCAAAAAC